AGGUGGGCACUCCUGAGGCUGCAGAGCGGAAGAGACCACCAACACUGCCCACAUCCCUGGCCCAAGAGGAAACUGUAUAAGGCCUCUGGGUUGCCGUGGAGGAGGGCCCAGGAGCAGGAGUACCGCUGCGCCUGAGACACUGCUGCAACCUGAAGGAAACAGACCAGAUAAACAGUUCUCUGUACCCAAAUCCCGUGGGAGGGAGAGCUAAACCUUCAGAGAGGCAGACACGCCUGGGAAACCAGAAGAGACUGCACUCUGCACAAACAUCUCGGACGCCAGAGGAAAACACCAAACACCAUCUGGAACCCUGGUGCACGGAAGCUCCCGGAAAAGGUGGCACAGAUCUUCCUGCUUGCUGCCGCUGCAGACAGCUCGUGGGCAGCACCCCGCGAGCGAACUUGAGCCUCAGGACUACAGGUAAGACCAACUUUUCUGUUGCAAGUGACAUGCCUGGUGAACUCAAGACACAGGCUCACAAGAACAGCUGAAGACCUGUAGAGAGGAAAAACUACACGCCCGAAAGCAGAACACUCUGUCCCUAUAACUGGCUGAAAGAAAACAGGAAAA
rnacentral:lncRNA from 1 species